rnacentral:tRNA from 1 species
GUUUUAAUAGUUUAGUAAAAAUAAUGAUCUUGUAAAUCAUAGAUAGGUGGAUCCUUUAAAACU